GUGCUUGCCUCACAGUACAUAGACUAAAACUGGAACAACAGAGAAGAUGAGCAUGACCCUGUCCAAAGAUGAUGUGUAAAUUCAUGAAGAGUUCCAUAGUUAA
rnacentral:snRNA from 1 species